GGCAAUUAUUCCUGUAAUGGUUUUUUGUUUAAAUGUUUUUUCGCCUAAGGAUGAGUCUGCGGCCGAUUAGGUAGUUGGUUAGGUAAUGGCUUACCAAGCCGUUGAUCGGUACGGGUUGUGAGAGCAAGAGCCCGGAGAUGGAACCUGAGACAAGGUUCCAGGCCCUACGGGGUGCAGCAGGCGCGAAACCUCCGCAAUGUGAGAAAUCGCGACGGGGGGAUCCCAAGUGCCAUUCUUAACGGGAUGGCUUUUCAUUAGUGUAAAGAGCUUUUGGAAUAAGAGCUGGGCAAGACCGGUGCCAGCCGCCGCGGUAACACCGGCAGCUCUAGUGGUAACAAUUUUUAUUGGGCCUAAAGCGUCCGUAGCCGGUUUAAUAAGUCUCUGGUGAAAUCCUGCAGCUUAACUGUGGGAAUUGCUGGAGAUACUAUUAGACUUGAGACCGGGAGAGGUUAGAGGUACUCCCAGGGUAGAGGUGAAAUUCUGUAAUCCUGGGAGGACCGCCUGUUGCGAAGGCGUCUAACUGGAACGGUUCUGACGGUGAGGGACGAAAGUUAGGGGCGCGAACCGGAUUAGAUACCCGGGUAGUCCUAACUGUAAACGAUGCGGACUUGGUGUUGGGGUGGCUUUGAGCUGCUUCAGUGCCGAAGGGAAGCUGUUAAGUCCGCCGCCUGGGAAGUACGGUCGCAAGACUGAAACUUAA
rnacentral:rRNA from 1 species